AGUGGAAGGAGGAAGAAGAUCAUAUUCCUUUAAUUUGAGAGUGCAGGGCACAUUAUAAAAUGCAGUGUAUGGGAAUGGACAACAUUGGGAAUGGAACCAGUGGGAUCAAAGUCCUCCUGUAUCUACAGGAAUAAAAAUAUGCCUUCAUCCAUGUUGAAGUUGAAGAUGGCCAGUCAUCAACUCCACUGUCAACUUCAAGUGUGACUUACACCCAAGCAUAUCAAUCACAUUAAAUGUAAACAACAAACACUAUGAUUAAAAGGCAGAGAUCGUCAGAUUAGAUAAAAAGGCAAGUCCCAACUUUUAUGCUGCUUAAAAGAAAUGCACUUUCAAUAUUAAUAUCUAAGUAGGUAAAAAGUAAAAGGAUAGAAGUGAUAGGCCAUUCUAAAGUAAUCAAAAUAAAUCUGCUGUAACUACAUUAAUAGUAGGCACAGUAGAUUACACAAGAAUAUUACCAAGAAUGAAGGUCUUUUCAUAGAGAGGUCAAUUCAUAAAGACAAAAAUCCUCAACUUUAUGGACAUGGAAGAUCUUCAAAAUACACAAAGCAAAAACCGAUAAAACUGCAAGGAGAAACAAAUUCCACAACCAUAGUUGAAGAUGGAUACUACUCUCUCAAUAACUGAUAGACAGAAAAUCUGUGAGUGUAUGGAAGACUUCAAUAACAGUAAUCAACCAAAUCCACUCACUUGACAAUUUCACAAUAAUCCACUUAGCAGCAGAAUAUACAUGUUCUUUUCAAAUGCUCAGGGAACACUUACUGAGACAGACCCUGUCCAGGACCAUAACACAUGUCACCAAUUUAAAAGGAUUCAUUUCACACAAAGUAUGUUCUCUGACCAAAACAGAACUACAAAUCUUUAACAAAGAUCUCUGGAAAAAUCCUUAAGUAAUUUGAAAUAACAUAAAGCUUCUAAAUACCACAUAGGUCAAAGCAAAAUUCAAGAAGGAAAUUGCCAAGUAUUUUUAACUGAAUAUAAAUGAAAGCACAAAAUGUAAGAAUAAGUGAAAUGCCACUAAACCCAUACACAGGCAGAAAUUUGAAG
rnacentral:lncRNA from 1 species